CAGAGAGGGACAGGAAGUGAGGAGGUGGGACUUCCACUCUGCAACAGCCUGCCACCUUCCAGGUUGUUUUGCCGUUUUACAUGUUAUUCCAAGCAAAGGGACUAAACAACCCUCAUUCAAACCAUUCUGACUGACUUUAAAUGCCUCAGGAGAUGGCCACAGGCAGGCUGUAGAAACUGGAACCACUCUCUUCAUCUUCAGAAGGAAGAUGGGGCCUCAAAAUGUUUCCACCUGUUUCAUAAUGAUGCCAUCAAGCAGAUAAACACCAGUCAAGGAUCAGCUUUGGACUACCAACUACUCAAGACAAUUCCAAAUUAGGAUCCUAUAGAGAAACUGUCACUCCCAAGACAGCUGGAAGUAAUUCUAAGAAAACAAUCACCCCUCUCCCAACAGUUGAGUUGAAUGGAUUUUGUUUUUUUUCUCUCAAGGUUAUGGAUAAUUGUCACCUGUUAAGUUAUAAAUUGUAAUGGAUUGGGGUGGGAUAUGAAGUUCUUAGACUCAGGAAUCUCUUUUGGAAAAGAAAAAGGGAAUGGAUGGGAUGGGAUAAUAGGUAGAUUAGUGUAUCUACUUGUGAACUAUUUUAGCAACUAUUAGUUAUAAUUUACAUUUAUAUAGAUCUUUAUAUUUUGAUACAUAUGUAAAAUUAUUUUGUAUUCCUUUCUAAGGUAAUUUGUUUAUUGAUACAGAUUCAAAAUUACAUUUGUUAUAUUAUGUACAUUCCUAUUUCUGCUUACAAUAUUUUGUAUACAAAUGUAAGAUUAUUUUGUCAUACUGUAUAUAUGGAUAUUUCUACCUCUGCUUAAGAUAUUUUGUAUAUUGAUACAAAUUAAGGAUAUUUUUGUCAUAUGCUGUACGUUCAUUUAAAGAUUGCUUAUUUUUCUAUGAGAAGCUUUAGUCAGUAAGCUAUAUAUGAAUUUCAGGUAAUGGUCACCCAUGCUUGUCAUACCUAGCUAUGUAGUUAGGCUCUCUAGAUGCACAGGUAUGUACUCAUCAUAGAUACUUGAUCUUCAAACACUUCAAAGACCUACAGAAUAUGACAUUUAAAUGUUUUAAUAAUUUAUAAUCCUUUUGAUAUCAGACACAACUGCUCCUAGCAGCACUGAGCUAUUCCCGAGAAAACAAUGGGCACUGGAGAUAUUUCAUUUGGAGCUUGUUUUCUUCUUAGCAAAACUGGCCUGUUAGGCAAAGAACUGCACUUGCUUCAACUGCUGACAGCAAGUACAUUGUCCAAACUGACAAGCAGGUUACAAAAAAAAAAAGUGGCUGCUGAUGCUUGCCAAGACAAGGUAGGACAGCCUUUCAAAUUUUCCUGUUUCUGAAAUUGGUCUGUCAGAUAUUCUAGGCCUACAGCCAAAGUUGAUUGCCCCAAUAUUAUUAUGAGACUUUGGGUGACUGUCCAGGUAGCCAGAUAUUUCCAUCAUUUCUUGCACCUUUUGGAAGUUGCUUGCUUGCACUUCCUGCUUACUCAGGUAAUAUUAUGUUUCCUUCUUAGAUCUUUGAUGGGGUUGAAGACUAGAUAGUCACAGGUACUAUGCUCUCAUAUCUUAGCUAAGACAUUUUAGAUACAAGACUUAGACUCCUCAGCAUAGAGUAGCUGUGGGAAUAAUCUCUAUAUUUUGCCUAUCACCUAUAGCCUGAAUAUUUAGUGUGUAUUUCUUGCUUGAUGUUGUUCUUGGUUAUACUUCUAAUUUUAUGUAUGAUUUACCUUUUCUUUUUCCUGGAUGGUACUUGAUAUCUGUUCUCAUUAUACAUAGUUUUGUAUUAGGUUUAGAACUCUCUUAUUAAGACAAAAAGGGGGAUUGUUGUGGGAAUUCAUUCAGCCAGUAGCUUUUGAGGUACUAUGUGUGACUGACAAAUGCAGAGAGGUGGCAUGCUCUCUUUCUAGGGUGGUGGUCAGAGAUCAGAUUGCAGGUUCCAGCACCCCUGGGCAGAAGGCCACAGUGGUUCUCUACUUCAUUUAUAAUUCAUGAGUGACUCCCCAAUAAAUGUCUGUUAUCCCUUUAAUUCAGGCUCUCAUGGACUCACUUACAAUUGCCUUUUAUACUACUCUCUCUGAACUUCUAAAGAGGACAUGGAUAAGUAGAAGAAUCUAUGUGUUUAGCUUGCAGGCAAAAAUAACAUAUCACAGACACACUCACACACACACUUACACACACAUACACACACAUACACACACACACACACACACACACACUUACAUGUAAGCAUGUUCAAGUUGCUUUCUGAGAGACAAAUUAUAAAUCAACACAGUAGCUCCUAGUUUCCCAAGAUAUAAUGAUUGAAAACACUUAUUCUGUUUUGUUUGUUUUUGUGGGAAAACUAAGCAUCAAUGGGCCUGACACCUGGCCUAGACUGAUAGUAAGAGCAUGCACAGUAGAUAUCUCUUGACAGCCAGCCUAGAUCUGCCAGAGGGCCUUGACAACAGCAGAUGAGAAAUUAUGUUGACCUAUUCUAUCAAUAGCGACUAUAUCACCUCAGCAGAUGCCAACUAAAUGGAUCCCCUCUGGGUCAGGGUUGAGGGAUAUAUGAGGUUUACCCCUUCCUGGAAUAAACUGAGGUUGUUGUUUCAAUUUGUUGCCUGUGUUUCUGGUGUUACGCCUACCUUCCCCCAUUCCCAAGGGACACCCGUCAGGAUCCUGCAACAUGAUUUAUUUAAGUCUUCUUUUCUAAAGAGAGAGAGAAAGAAAGCAUGGUGUUAAGUGGGUAGGGA